CGAACAGGAUUAGAUACCCUGGUAGUCCACGCCGUUAACUAUGCUCACUCGCUGUUGGCAAUAGAUCGUCAGCGGCUAAGGGAAACCGAUAAUUGAGCCACCUGGGGAGUACGAUCGCAAGAUUGAAACUCAAAGGAAUUGACGGGGGCCCGCACAAGCGGAGGAACAUGUGGUUUAAUUCGAUGAUACGCGAGGAACCUUACCUGGGCUUAAAUGUAGAGUGCAUAAAGUGGAAACAUUUUUUCCUUCGGGACUCUUUACAAGGUGCUGCAUGGUUGUCGUCAGCUCGUGCCGUGAGGUGUCGGGUUAAGUCCCAUAACGAGCGCAACCCCUAUCGUUAGUUACCAGCACGUAUUGGUGGGGACUCUAGCGAAACUGCCGGUGUAAACCGUGAGGAAGGUGGGGAUGACGUCAAAUCAGCACGGCCCUUAUGUCCAGGGCUACACACGUGUUACAAUGGUCGGUACAGUGGGCAGCCACAUAGCAAUAUGGAGCUAAUCUCAANAGCCGAUCUCAGUUCGGAUUGGAGUCUGCAACCCGACUCCAUGAAGGUGAUUCGCUAGUAAUCGCGCAUCAGCCAUGCGCGGUGAUACGUUCCCGGNCCUGACACACCGCCCGUCAGCCAUGGAAGUUUG
rnacentral:rRNA from 1 species